rnacentral:tRNA from 1 species
GGAGGGGUGCGGAGAAUGGUAUUCCAGCUGUCUUGAAAACAGUCGCCCUCACGGGCUUGCAGGUUCGAGUCCUGUCCCCUCCGCCA